rnacentral:rRNA from 1 species
CCAGAUAGGGGAGGCGUAGCGAAAGCGAGUCCGAACAGGGCGUUGAGUUGCUGGGUGUAGACCCGAAACCGGAUGAUCUAUCCAUGGCCAGGAUGAAGGUGCGGUAACACGCACUGGAGGUCCGAACCCACGUCUGUUGCAAAAGACAGGGAUGAGCUGUGGAUAGGGGUGAAAGGCUAAACAAAUCCGGAAAUAGCUGGUUCUCUCCGAAAACUAUUUAGGUAGUGCCUCGAGAUUACACUGACGGGGGUAGAGCACUGUUAUGGCUAGGGGGUCAUUGCGAUUUACCAACC